GGCACCAGGCCCCAAUAGCUGGCUCUUGACAAGCUCCCCUCCCCCCACCCCCCCUUCUUUGCAUACCAGUGUACCUUCAACAGAUGCUAAGAGCGGCCUCGGGCAUCCUGGUGUGCAGGCCCACGUUGUACAGAGAGGAACGAGGGAGGCUCAGAAGGGGUUGGGACCCCCUCCAGCUUGGCACGAGCUGUUGGUCCCGCGCCUCCCCCUGAUUCCCCUUUGCCCCCACCCCCCUCCAGGUACCGCCCUGUUCUCCAAAGACAAUGGGUCCAGAUCAGAGUCAGGCUGGUGUCAGUGCCUGGCACCCAAGGGGCUCACCUGGCAAAGGCCAGAAAGCUUGGAGAGGCAGCCUGGCAGCCACCGGAAGUCCCCAAGCCAAAACCAAAGCAGACAUGAAACCCUGCGUCUUCCAUGGACACAAGAGGGGGAAGCCAAACAAUGGAAAACGUAGCCGGCUGGGGAUGGGGUGGGUCCCAGCCUCCCCCUGCCCACCGUCCUCGAGGUGGACAAUAAAGAAAAGUGCAGGA